UACAGGGGGGGGCAAGCGUUGUUCGGAAUUACUGGGCGUAAAGGGCUCGUAGGUGGCCAACUAAGUCAGACGUGAAAUCCCUCAGCUUAACUGGGGAACUGCGUCUGAUACUGGAUGGCUUGAGUUUGGGAGAGGGAUGCGGAAUUCCCGGUGUAGCGGUGAAAUGCGCAGAUAUCGGGAGGAACACCUAUGGCGAAGGCAGCUCGCUGGGACGUUACUGACGCUGAGACGCGAAAGCGUGGGGAGCAAACAGG
rnacentral:rRNA from 1 species